GUAAAUAUAACUCAAUAGGUAGAGUGGCUGUAUGUGGCUCAGUAUGUUCUUGGUUCAAGUCCAGGUAUUUACC
rnacentral:tRNA from 1 species